CUGUAAGUUCAACGAAUUAACACGGGAAAUGAAACGUCGUAUCAGUGAAGCCGGUGCGUAACGCGAACAAUGUAGCACGAAGCAAGGAAGAAAACUAAUAACAGCAACUAUAAUCGUGAUGCAUUUGGUCAUCCUGGCGCGACGUACCCUACGAAAGGGCUUGGGAAGAAAUGUUCGAAGAAAAAUGUUAAGACGGAAGAAACACGUGCUGUGACGCAGAAUUCAUCCGAAGAAGUAUUACAUUGGUGCUAUUUUGAAACAAGAAGUUGCUUAUUGGUGCUGACUUCCUAGAGUUGAGAAUUUCCACGCUAAGAAAGGAGCCCCUUUAAAAUGACCCAGACAACGUGGUAAAGAUAGAAAAAGCGAUAAUUACAACUGGGAGUAUAAGACGAAGAAACUGUGCUGCAGCAGAUACGAUGUCUGGCAGCAAAUGAGAGAGAAAUUGUCAAUCGAUAAAUAGACGAAUGAAAAAACUAAAAAAUAUGACGAAAAAUGAAUUAUCUCGUCCGGAAGUCCUUAUCAGCGAUUUCCCAGAUGCAUUAACAGACUAGCAAUGGAAUCCAAGACGACUCUGAAUAGAUAAGGACUCUAACCACAUGUAGUGUUUAGGGUGUAACCUUGAGGAAUAGAAUAAAUAAUAAGUUUUACAAUAAUUAUAAAGACGACUAGUCCUAGAAUUGCAGCAAUGACCGAACCAAAUUUAAGAAAACUACUCUAUACAGUAGUAACGACACUUUCUACAAA
rnacentral:lncRNA from 1 species